rnacentral:rRNA from 1 species
GACGAACCGUGCGAACGUUAUUCGGAAUCAUUGGGCUUAAAGGGCGCGUAGGCGGCGAUAUAAGUUGGAAGUGAAAUCCCAUCGGCUCAACCGUGGAAUAGCUCCCAGUACUGUAUCGCUCGAGGGGGAUAGGGGUCUGCGGAACUACCGGUGGAGCGGUGAAAUGCGUAGAUAUCAUUUGGAACGCCAAUGGCGAAAACAGGUAGCUGGGAGUGUGCUGACGCUGAGACACGAAAGCCAGGGGAGCAAACGGG